GACGAACGCUGGCGGCGUGCCUAAUACAUGCAAGUUGAGCGAUGAAGAUUGGUGCUUGCACCAAUUUGAAGAGCAGCGAACGGGUGAGUAACGCGUGGGGAAUCUGCCUUUGAGCGGGGGACAACAUUUGGAAACGAAUGCUAAUACCGCAUAACAACUUUAAACAUAAGUUUUAAGUUUGAAAGAUGCAAUUGCAUCACUCAAAGAUGAUCCCGCGUUGUAUUAGCUAGUUGGUGAGGUAAAGGCUCACCAAGGCGAUGAUACAUAGCCGACCUGAGAGGGUGAUCGGCCACAGUGGGACUGAGACACGGCCCAAACUCCUACGGGAGGCAGCAGUAGGGAAUCUUCGGCAAUGGACGAAAGUCUGACCGAGCAACGCCGCGUGAGUGAAGAAGGUUUUCGGAUCGUAAAACUCUGUUGGUAGAGAAGAACGUUGGUGAGAGUGGAAAGCUCAUCAAGUGACGGUAACUACCCAGAGAGGGACGGCUAACUACGUG
rnacentral:rRNA from 1 species